UUUAUAUUUUAGUAAUAAUCAACUUGUAAAGAAUAGUCAAUUAGGGGGCAUAUCAAAGCCCUAACAAUAUUUUUAAAAAUGGAAAUAGUUUCGAAAAAAUGCGUGGAACAAGGGAAAUAAUAUUUUUCCAAUAAGAGUGCCUGGAACAAAGGAAAUAAUACUUUUUCAAUAAAAUUCAACCUAAUUUGGGUAACAUCUUGAUACAAAUUCCAAUGCAAUGAAUAAAGCUAAAAAAUUUAAUCCGGUUGCAACGAAAAAUCCGAACUCUUUAACAAGUACCAAACUUUCUUCAACACAAAAAUACUCUUCCUCUUCUAUGGUAUCCAACACGGUACAUGAACCCAAGUACUAGGUUCCCCAAAAUCACAAAAAAUUAGAAAAUAUCAAACAGUAUCGAAGAGCACCCUAUAGUAUAAUCAAUUCCCAAUUCUUUCAUAAAAGGUCCCUACCGAGUCUCAACACCUUUAAAAAUGCUAAAAGCAUGUGCAAUCUAGUCAGUAUCCACUUUCCUAUCUCCGAUGGGUCUAUCUUUAACAGCCGAAUAUGAUGAAACCACAUGUAAUGAUGGCAAAACGGAAUUAUCCAUAUCCUCCAAACUCGACUGAGUUGUAUUCUUCAAUAUAGACCUCGAACCAAAUCCUAAAGGUACAGUACCAAAUUGUAUCUCCACCUUGAUACUAAGUUUUUACUGAUUUUUCUUCACAAAUUUUGCCCAACCUUACAAGAUGUAUAAUUGGGACCUCUUCUACUCUCUCAAUACAACUUGAACACCCUUUCAAAUCCUUUAGAUCCCACCACCUCCAGAGAGCGUGUACCAUUUUGAAUCAAUAGUAAUCAACGAAAUGAGAUUUUUCUCCAAGUUUGAAAUGUAUCGAACGUGAUCAAGUGUUCUACAUAAUCCAUGCACAUG
rnacentral:lncRNA from 1 species